rnacentral:rRNA from 1 species
CAGCAGCCGCGGUAAUACGUAGGUGGCAAGCGUUGUCCGGAAUUAUUGGGCGUAAAGGGCUCGCAGGCGGUUUCUUAAGUCUGAUGUGAAAGCCCCCGGCUCAACCGGGGAGGGUCAUUGGAAACUGGGAAACUUGAGUGCAGAAGAGGAGAGCGGAAUUCCACGUGUAGCGGUGAAAUGCGUAGAGAUGUGGAGAACACCAGUGGCGAAGGCGACUCUCUGGUCUGUAACUGACGCUGAGGAGCGAAAGCGUGGGGAGCGAACAGGAUUAGAUACCCCAGUAGUCCCUGUCUCUUAUACA